UUUUAAAUUCAAAUGUCUUACUAAAAAUAAAUUGAGCCUCAGUCUUCUCGAACCCAUCAAAAAAUAAGCAUAAUUUAAAUGUAUAAAUCAACCCCCACAAGUAAAUUGGAAAACAGAGAAAGAAAACUAAGGUGCUCAUGUAGGGGAAAUUCCAAGAACAACAGAUAACAUUAGUUUUAUGUGCAUUAGCAGAAUUAAAACAAAGUCGUUUUUGACAUAGUUGAAAUCAAAAUAGUAAGUUGCUUAAGUAGCAUCCAUUCUCAAACAUCCCAUGAUGGAGAAUGAAUCUUCUUCCUAGUUAUAAUCCAAACAUAGGCUUAUACAUAUAAAGAGUAUCAAAUUUCAGCUCAAAUUACAGAGAAUGAGAGAGAGAAUUGAAGAUGACCUGAGUCCUAACCAUGGUUGAUGAGCCUAGUUGAAGAAGUACCCAAGAGACCCCAAAAUAUCUCCCUAAGGUAACUAACUUCUGAUGCAUUGGAACUCCAUAUCCAUUUAAUGGAGUCCUGAAAAAAGUUAAUGCAAUAUGAUAAAGCUAAACAGAAUAGUAUCCACUACCCCCACCCCCCCCCN
rnacentral:lncRNA from 1 species